ACAGUACCUACACAACAUAUAUAGAUGUCUAACCACUUCUCCAUUCAGUUACAAUCAAUCCCGAUCCUAUUUUUUUGGAUCUGAGAGACAGAGGCGGUCGCUUUGGCGGCUCGGUGGAGCAGUUGAGCGUCGGCAACGGCAACAGCCUCGACUAGGUGCGGCGGCGGCGACGGAGAGGAUGGAGCGGCGUCCUCCAUAUCACUCUCCCGGCGCCGACGCCCGCCUCACCGGAUGUGGCCACUUGCUUCUUUUCAACACGAAGAGAAACGGGAGAAGGAGAAGAAAGGGAUGCCAGUGAUGUUGCAACGUCUCCUCUGUGCACCUGGCAUCAACCCCAUCGAUCUAGUCAUCUCCUUUCUCCUGUUCCGCUUUGUUUUCUUUCUGUCUUUGCUCUGACACACCCUUUGAUUUUGUAGGAUUUUCAAUGUAGUCAGGCCCGCUGCUAGAGGCUAUUGUUUUCAUGAUGCAUUUAGACGGCCAGUGGUGCUCCCCUUCAACCAAGUGAUCGUCAGCGAGAGGAGCCGGCCGCGGUGGCCGGGGCGACGACUGGUGCUGCACCACUCUCCCAAGCUGAGGCCAACAAGAAGAGCAAGCAGCGUAUCCCGGCUCCAAUUGGAGAGAUUCAAAAUGUAAAUUACAGUGCAUCAAUUAUUUGUUGGGAUGAAGACAUCUGUUUUGUCUUUCGUUUUCAUUGAUUCGCAGGUAUCCUUGUCAGAGCAGAACAACACCUACAACAUGCACAUACUCUGGUGUUUUUCUGCAUCUGCUAUUUUUGCCAACGAGAUCAUCGACUCCCCACCCUCCAGGUGGCUGUGGGAUUCUCUCUGGAUAUUCGUGGGUGAUGGAUAUAUGUCGAUGGGAGACCUAAGGAAUCUAUAGUGCUUUGUCGGCUCAACAUCGAUAUGUGGCACUAGCAUCGUCUUGCUUGUUGGAUUCGUGCAUGUAAUAGUAAUUUAGUUACUAAGAGACAUAUGUUGAGAACUAUCGGUGCAAUAGUAACUUGGUUACUAAGAGAAUUUUUUGGCAAUAUCAAUAUGUUAUGUUGAGAUUGGUGUAAUAUAAAUUUAUUUACUAA